AUUGAACGCUGGCGGCAUGCCUUACACAUGCAAGUCGAACGGUAACGCGGGGCAACCUGGCGACGAGUGGCGAACGGGUGAGUAAUGCAUCGGAACGUACCCAGUAGUGGGGGAUAGCCCGGCGAAAGCCGGAUUAAUACCGCAUACGACCUACGGGUGAAAGGGGGGGAUCGCAAGACCUCUCGCUAUUGGAGCGGCCGAUGUCAGAUUAGGUAGUUGGUGGGGUAAAAGCCUACCAAGCCUGUGAUCUGUAGCUGGUCUGAGAGGACGACCAGCCACACUGGGACUGAGACACGGCCCAGACUCCUACGGGAGGCAGCAGUGGGGAAUUUUGGACAAUGGGCGCAAGCCUGAUCCAGCAAUGCCGCGUGCGGGAAGAAGGCC
rnacentral:rRNA from 1 species